UACGGAGGGUGCAAGCGUUAUCCGGAUUUACUGGGGUUAAAGGGUGUGUAGGCGGGCUUUUAAGUCUGGGGUGAAAUCUCCGAGCUCAACCCGGAAACUGCCUUGGAUACUAUUAGUCUUGAAUUAUGUUGAGGUUGGCGGAAUAUAACAUGUAGCGGUGAAAUGCAUAGAUAUGUUAUAGAACACCGAUUGCGAAGGCAGCUAACUAAGCGUAUAUUGACGCUGAGGCACGAAAGCGUGGGGAUCAAACAGG
rnacentral:rRNA from 1 species